rnacentral:rRNA from 1 species
ACGAACGCUGGCGGCGUGCUUAACACAUGCAAGUCGAACGGAAAGGCCCUGCUUUUGUGGGGUGCUCGAGUGGCGAACGGGUGAGUAACACGUGAGUAACCUGCCCUUGACUUUGGGACAACUUCAGGAAACUGGGGCUAAUACCGGAUAGGAGCUCCUGCUGCAUGGUGGGGGUUGGAAAGUUUCGGCGGUUGGGGAUGGACUCGCGGCUUAUCAGCUUGUUGGUGGGGUAGUGGCUUACCAAGGCUUUGACGGGUAGCCGGCCUGAGAGGGUGACCGGCCACAUUGGGACUGAGAUACGGCCCAGACUCCUACGGGAGGCAGCAGUGGGGAAUAUUGCACAAUGGGCGGAAGCCUGAUGCAGCAACGCCGCGUGCGGGAUGACGGCCUUCGGGUUGUAAACCACUUUCGCCUGUGACGAAGCGUGAGUGACGGUAAUGGGUAAAGAAGCACCGGCUAACUACGUG